rnacentral:miRNA from 1 species
CAUUGUUGAACAAGUAAGUCAU